rnacentral:rRNA from 1 species
AUUGAACGCUGGCGGUAUGCUUAACACAUGCAAGUCGAACGGUAGCAGGCCUUCGGGCGCUGACGAGUGGCGGACGUGUGAGUAACGCGUAGGAAUCUGCCUCAUAGUGGGGGACAACGUGUGGAAACGCACGCUAAUACCGCAUACGCCCUACGGGGGAAAGCGGGGGACGCUCGGGCCUCGCGCUAUGAGAUGAGCCUGCGUUAGAUUAGAUAGUUGGUAGGGUAAAGGCCUACCAAGGCGACGAUCUAUAGCUGGUAUGAGAGGACGACCAGCCACACUGGGACUGAAACACGGCCCAGACUCCUACGGGAGGCAGCAGUGGGGAAUAUUGGACAAUGGGCGCAAGCCUGAUCCAGCAAUACCGCGUGUGUGAAGAAGGCCCUAGGGUUGUAAAGCACUUUCAAUAGGGAGGAAAACCUGUCGGUCAAUACCCGGCAGCUUGACAUUACCUAUACAAGAAGCACCGGCUAACUCCGUGCCAGCCGCCGCUGUAACAC